rnacentral:rRNA from 1 species
CCUACGGGAGGCUGCAGUCGAGAAUCAUUCACAAUGGGGGAAACCCUGAUGGUGCGACGCCGCGUGGGGGAAUGAAGGUCUUCGGAUUGUAAACCCCUGUCAUGUGGGAGCAAAUUAAAAAGAUAGUACCACAAGAGGAAGAGACGGCUAACUCUGUGCCAGCAGCCGCGGUAAUACAGAGGUCUCAAGCGUUGUUCGGAAUCACUGGGCGGAAAGCGUGCGUAGGCUGUUUCGUAAGUCGUGUGUGAAAGGCGCGGGCUCAACCCGCGGACGGCACAUGAUACUGCGAGAAUAGAGUAAUGGAGGGGGAACCGGAAUUCUCGGUGUAGCAGUGAAAUGCGUAGAUAUCGAGAGGAACACUCGUGGCGAAGGCGGGUUCCUGGACAUUAACUGACGCUGAGGCACGAAGGCCAGGGGAGCGAAAGGGAUUAGAUACCCUGGUAGUC